UACGAAGGGGGCUAGCGUUGCUCGGAAUGACUGGGCGUAAAGGCGCGUAGGCGGUUUGUACAGUCAGAUGUGAAAUUCCCGGGCUCAACCUGGGGGCUGCAUUUGAUACGUGCGGACUUGAGUGGGGAAGAGGGUCGUGGAAUUCCCAGUGUAGAGGUGAAAUUCGUAGAUAUUGGGAGGAACACCGGUGGCGAAGGCGGCCCCUGGACCGGAACUGACGCUGAGGCGCGAAAGCGUGGGUAGCAAACGGG
rnacentral:rRNA from 1 species